UUUGUCAGCUCUGAUUAAGUGGCUCAUGAACACUGAUCAUCUCAAUAUGGCAGCAUCAGAAUCUGCAUGCGGCACACAGCAGCCCAGUCAGCUGAAGGGCUAAUUAAAGCUGAACGGAGCGCUGUGCUCAUGAUAACUCAAGAGCAGACACUUAUCGAUUUGGCCCUGCUUCUCAGAGCCUGUUUUCCUGCGCUCUCGAUCUCUGAGGGAUUUCCCGUCACACUGCCAGAGCGUUUGCAUGCUGCACAGACCGCUGGGAUCCGCUUACUCUCCACGCGGCUCACGGGCCGAGCAUCGCAACCGGACCAGCGCACGCAGCCGCUGAGCAUCAUGGGAACGCUGGGAGCUUAAAGAUGAGUCAGCAUGCUGACAGAAGAGUCACAAUGCACACAUUCAUGCCAUCAAAAAAGUCUGGAGUGCAACAGAAUAAAAGCGAACAGCAGUUUUAAAAACUUUAAAACGUUACACAGCAUCGUAUAAAAGCAACGCUUGAGGUGUACGAUUCUACACCAGAGCACAUACAGACGUCACGCACCGGAUGCCGUGCACGCGCUCAGGGCAGUUGGAUAUAGUGGUGUAUCAGAGAUUGUGUGCCCAUUGACUGGCAUUAUAUGACUGACAGACUGCAACGGUUUGAGUUAAAAAUCUUCGUUUGUGUUCUACUGAAGAAACAGUCACCUACAUCUUGGAUGUCCUGGGGUGUACCUGGAAAUCAGAUGUAAUUGAAACGGACCCAGGUGGGAAGGAUCGCCAAAAUAAACCUACUGAGAGUCCGAUAAACAACGCAGAGAAAGAGGAAAUUUACUUCCGUUUUGUUCUUCUUGAGGCAUGAAAUCAGGAACUGGGAACUUUCAGAGGAGCAGAGGCGUUUGCACAGACUUUUUAAAAGCUGAAGUGUGUAAUUUCUGCUCAUCACCACAUGCAACUGCCAAAAUAGUGACCGAUUUUCUCAAACAUUCUCCAUAUCGGUGAUUUUGUUAGUCAAACAGAUAGUCCCGCCCCCAAACUCACCCCAUUGGUUGAGUCGAUGUUGCGAUACUCAAACAGAUCAGUGUUUUGAAAGCAUCAGUGUCUCAGUUUUUCAUUCAAGAAGCCAAACUCUUUUACUUAUAGUGAACAUUAAGAAAUAAGGUUUUAUUUUUCAAAAUAGAGAAGAAAUUAUACAUUUCAGCUCACAGCUGGAUUCUCAUGCACAGUCAGUAAAUACAAUAUCCUACAUAUGCUGAUUGGUUCGUGAUCUGAGGCUAAAGCUGAAUAUCAUCUCGGCAGCAUCAGGUGUCUUUAUUAAAGCUUUAAAUCGCACAUCUUCUGUGAAUGAGAUCCAUGUCUGUGGCAGCACACGGUCUCGCACUCUUCGUGUGCACGUGACUGACGUAAUCGGGCUAAAAUUAAAUCGCUGAGACAAUGACGAGCGCACAGGCAGCAGAACGCUGGCUAGACACAGACAACAAUACCGCAGGGUUAGGCCUGCAAUUUCCUGAUCAUGUAUGAGAGCUGAUCUGAUCUGCUCAAAAACACAAACCAGGUGACGAGGAUGCAAGACUACUGCUUUCCAUCUUUGCAAUUUAUCUUAAAAUGACAAAUAAAAUCAAUUUUAAUAGAAAAGUAAUAAUUGACACAUUUCACAUUUAAUAUACAGCGCGCACAGACUGAAAUCUGACUCACCAAUUUUCUCAUCAUAAACAGUGCGAUGCAGCUAUAUUAAUCACAGAAUGUAGACAGCUUCACUUAUUAUAACGGGAGUGUUUUUAAACUCGGGCUGGACUGAGUGAUGAUGUUCUUUGGUAAUGUAAACGUUCUUUGCUUGUUUUCUGUAGCUCCUCUUUGAAUAACCGAGGAAAUGUAAGCAUUAUAAUUAGUAACUUACAAUGUUUCCAUUGAAUUGUUAGGUUAAAUACAAAUUCAGUCAGAUUAAAAACAUUAGGGCGGUUUUUAGCCUUACGCUGGAGUUGGUUCACUUUCCGGCAAUGAAACCAAGUAAAUAGAUAAUUAAAUAAAUUAGAAAUUUUUGUCAUCUUUAAAUUUAUGAAAAGUUUAAUUAAUUUAAUUAGACACCCUUUUAAUAAAUCAAAACUGAAUUAAACCAUGCAUUCAGAAAAAUUAAGUGAAAACACAAAAUUUGGGAAAAGAAAUGGAAUGAAAAAUAAAAUGGAUUUUAUGUGGACCAAAUAAAGUGAAUUGACAGCUGCUGACGACAGUACGCAUGUUAUAUUUUGACAAAAACACAAAUCAACAAUUCACAGUGAGGAAGGUGUUUUCACACAAACACGUGCAGGUUUUCUGAAAGGGUUUAAUCUGGAUUGUGUUCUAUAAUCCCUCUGGAAACUGGAUUGCAGCACAGAAACCGCUCGUCUGCAAUACCGUGUGAUCGAAUGGUUAAUUCUGAGUUUAGAGACAUUAUACACUUUCAUGUGCAGAGAAAAAUCAACAUGUGGUGAAGUGUGAAUUUCACACACAGAAAGACGUGUAUGCAUCGGCGGCACGUCUGAAGGUUAGUCCUAUUGAUGGAGAGGCGGAUUUAAGCGAGGGUCCUGAGGAGACAUUUAUAAUUCAUAAAGCUGUCAGUGCUGCAGAGCAGAUGGACGGAGAAUAAAACGGGUGUUUAGUAUAAAAAAAAUAAAUAAGGUCAGCGCUGUCCUACUAUAAACGAUCGUAAACAUGCUACAAUUUGACAAGGUGACAACGUCAGCUCAUAGGGUCAGAUAAAGGCAAGGAAGGUGUUAGACUGACACACACACACGUGAAGGUUUCACACACUCAGAUCAACACAGAACAUCUAUAUCUAUAUCCAGUGUCCUAACUAUACACAAUGACAAGGCCGAAAAAAAGAUACGUUACAGUAGCAUUCAAAAUUUGGGAGUUGGUGAGAUUUUUAAAAAUGUUUUUGAAGUCUCUUCUGCUCACCAAGGCUGCAUUUAUUUUAUCAAAAACACUGUAAAAAUUGUGAAAUAUUGCAAUUUAAAAUAUCUGUUUUCUAUGUGAAUGUGUUAAACUGUAAUUUAUUUCUGUGAUGCGCAGCUGUAUUUUCAGCAUCAUUACUGCAGUCUUAAGUGUCACAUGAUCUUCAGAAAUCAUUCUAAUAUGCUGAUUUACUGCUCAAGAAACAUUUCUGAUUAUUAUCAAUGUUGAAAACGUGAUAUCUGUUCUUUUGAAGUUUCUGUAAAUCAAAGAAUC